CAAUAGCGUAUAUUAAAGUUGUUGCGGUAAAAGCUCGUAAGUUGGAUUUCUGCUGAGGAUGGGCGGUCCGCUCACUGAGCGUGUAUCUGCUUCAGCCUUGGCAUCCUCUCGUUAAUCGUUUCUGCGCUUGAUUGCGUGGGGCGGGUGGCGGGACUUUUACUUUGAAAAAUUAGAGUGCUCAAAGCAGGCUAUUACGCCUGAAUAUUCGUGCAUGGAAUAAUAGAAUAGGAAGUCGUUUCUAUUUUGUUGGUUUUCGGAAAUCGACUUAAUGAUUAAUAGGGACAGUCGGGGGCAUUUGUAUUCAAACGACAGAGGUGAAAUUCUUGGACCCGUUUGAAGACAAACUACUGCGAAAGCAUUUGCCAAGAAUGUUUUCAUUAAUCAAGAACGAAAGUUAAAGGUUCGAAGACGAUUAGAUACCGUCUGAGAUCGCCAAGGCA
rnacentral:rRNA from 1 species